rnacentral:rRNA from 1 species
AAACCAGCACCUCAAGUGGUCAGGAGGAUUAUUGGGCCUAAAGCAUCCGUAGCCUGCUUUGUAAGUUUUCGGUUAAAUCCAUAUGCUCAACAUAUGGGCUGCCGGGAAUACUGCACAGCUAGGGAGUGGGAGAGGUAGACGGUACUCGGUAGGAAGGGGUAAAAUCCUUUGAUCUAUUGAUGACCACCAGUGGCGAAGGCGGUCUACCAGAACACGUCCGACGGUGAGGGAUGAAAGCUGGGGGAGCAAACCGGAUUAGAAACCCCGGUAGUCC